rnacentral:piRNA from 1 species
UGGCAGUAACAGUUCCUGUGGCUUUGC